rnacentral:rRNA from 1 species
UACGUAGGGUGCAAGCGUUUAAUCGGAAUUACUGGGCGUAAAGCGUGCGCAGGCGGCUAUGCAAGACAGAUGUGAAAUCCCCGGGCUCAACCUGGGAACUGCAUUUGUGACUGCAUGGCUAGAGUACGGUAGAGGGGGAUGGAAUUCCGCGUGUAGCAGGUGAAAUGCGUAGAUAUGCGGAGGAACACCGAUGGCGAAGGCAAUCCCCUGGACCUGUACUGACGCUCAUGCACGAAAGCGUGGGGAGCAAACAGG